UGACUUUGAGAAAAAUGUACUUUAACAAAGGGAAAGCAAAAUGAUGUCAAAGGCAAUUAAUUAUUUAGGCCAGACUCAAAAAUUCUUUGUGUUAAUGAACCCAUAUAGUCCCUGUAGCCUAUUUUCCAUUCUAGUUUCUCCUUGUAGUUUCUUCAUCUUUUAUUGGACUUAGUGUAUUUUACUAGUAUAUCAUUGAUGUCAUGUUUGUUCUGUUCUGUCUGCCUGCAUUGUAAAAGGAAAGUUUAAAUUUUGUGUUCUUUUUUUAAAACGUCAUGUAAUUGACAAAUUACAUUUGUAGAAAUGACAAUUUACUUUGUAUGUAAAAAUUUAUUAGAGUUUAUUUUGAGCAUCAUGUGGCAGAAUAAAUCUUAAUUUAACUUUCACAGAUAUUUUUUUUUCUAUCUUUCUAAGUUAGGAUUCUAACAUAAAAUCGCCUGCUGGGUUUCGGAAGGUGUGAGUUUAAAAACCAAAAGCUGAACUUUUAGAGUUUUGCAUACAAAGUAGAAGCAGUAAAGGUGUAGAAUAGUGACUGUUAAAUAAUUCCCCCCCCUACACACACCAUAAUGGUUUUCAGUUCCAAAGUCUUAACAGAAUUGCUUUUACAAUUUUGACUAACAGGAGCAUAUUAAAAGGGGCCAACAAAAAGUAAGGUCAGAGAUCUUCUAAAAUUAAAUGCUCUAAAAAGUGCAAUUAAAUAUAUUGACCCAAAUAAAAUAUAUUUCAGCUUGUAGCCUCCUGAUAUCCAAGCAUGUCCUAAUAAGACUCAAUAAAAUAUGGUAAACCUUGAGCAUUUUUGUAAAGCAUAUUGGCAAAUAUUGGAAAUGUUUUUAAUAGAUGCUUACCUUUUCAAAACUAAAUUUUCUCUGGUAUUACUUAUGCAUUUUUUUCCACACCAUAAGUUAACUGUGUGAAUUACCUUUUUAAAAUUUCUAUGUAGAUGGUGACGAACAACUUUUUUUUACAAAGCCAUUUCAGGAAAAAUGAAAAUGUUUAUAGGCCUCCAUUUAAAAAUUUCAAAAUGGAAAUAUUUUAUUGAGUCCCGUGGAGGAAUAAACAUCUGUAAGCUGGACUACCCACUUUACUAAUUUAAAAAAUGCCACUGAGAAUUUGCAUUGCUUUUUAGCCACUGAAUUAUUACUCUCUGGAUGUGUUUGAGGAGCAAUGGGUGGCUUUUUUCUUAGACUGAGAUCGUGAGCUAUAUCCUCAAGCUGGGAGUACCACUUUUAGUCCCUGGAUCCGUAUUUCUUUAUGUCUGAAAUAGAGAAUACAUAGUGGUCUCAUGCAAUCUAUUGAUCCAAAUCCCUGCCAAUUUCUGGGUUCUAGUCUUUAAAUUAUGUUAAAUUGCUAUUGUCUAACAAAGAACUAUCAACCACUUGGAUUUCUUAACUUCCAUCACUAGAACUAAUAAUUAGUGUUCUUUUUUUAAAAAAAAUUAAAUAACUAUUUUCAAACAGCAGAGAAUUUAAAAAGUGGCCCAAAGAUACAGAUGUUGGAAAGUCAGCUUCCGAGUUGGUUCUGCCCCUCUACCCUGGCAUACAGCUUCACUGUUCUUCCACAGAGUUAAUGACGAGGGUCCCUGAGGGCACUGGGAACGAUCCAAACUAGGUAUAUUAAAUCCAUGAAGGGCAUCAGUCCGCUGUGUUUAUCUUACACAAGCCAAGUCCUGUGCUAGAAAUUAAAACUAUAACCGAAGGUUCUGUAAAAUGAGUAUUAAUUUGAAAGGUCUAAACAUUUUUAAAUAUUUUAAUUUUGAUAAAAAUUUUUGAUAAAAUGCCACAGUUCUUGUUCACUACAGGAUUGUCAUAUUUCUAAUGUUUGUUUACAUGCAGUAGUAAAGCACUGCCUUUAAAGCAAAGAGUAAGCCUAUUAUAAAUUCCCAGAUUAAAAGUCAUUCUACCUUAUAUUCAGAAAUUAAAAUACUGACAUUUUCUGUUUUGCUCAAAACAUGCUUUCAGAAUCUUCCAUUAUUUUGUUAAUGAUUUUGAGUCUGAAACCAUUUAAUACUGUGUUUGUUAAUGUUGGUGUUCUUUCACUUUGCUGUUAGGUCAGAAUUAUGAAUUUGCAAAUAGCAACUUCCAGCGGAAGAGUGGGUAAAGGUUUUAGUACAGACAAAUUAUUCCAACUACCAUCUUAUUAUACUAUAUUUCAAGCUGAAACAAAUAUUUAAGAUGGUAGGAUGGUAUUGUACAUCUUAGAAGAAAUAAAGAUCUAGAUUCUUUCCUUUCCCUUCAGGAAAGUUAACUGCUUAUUGCAUGAGGAAAAGAGAGCCUUUAGAUUCUUUUAAUCUAUUUUAGUAAGCUGCUUUUUCAGUUUUGCUUGCACAUAUUUUGUUUAUUUUUGGGUCUGGCAAUUUAAAAACAAAAUAAAAAACAAAUCAUAUCCAUCCAUUACUAUCUUUGUGAUUCAAGUGCUUGAAAUUUCCGAGAGUAUGUCUGUAUAAGUCUUCUAUCUGUUUGGCCUCAUUUUGGUAACCUGCAGACUUCAUUUUGUUUUCUUUCUCUUAAUUCUGUUAAUUUAUUUAAUCUCAUGGGAGAGAAAACAUGAUCAUUCUUUUAUAUACUGUACUUCAUUCUUUCAUCCAGUUCAUACUCUUAACUGCUUUGGAUUCAUGUAUUUUUUUUUGUUAGUGAACUUGCUGCAGUUUACCUGCCAUGGUGGUGCUCAAGUAUAACAACAUAGAUGGAAACAAGUUAUUUCUCCAGUAGGGUUUCAUUCUUUUUAUUUCUGCUUUGUGUCAACUGUGUGAUCUUAAAUCUUUUAAGAACUAUGUUGUACUGUUCAAAAGAUCUUAUUUUUACAUUUCACAUUGUACAUACUACUAAGUCAGGGAAGCCCAAUUUCUGUAAAUUUGAGUGUCAAAAUUGUUAGUAAAAUUUAUCUUGUUGCUUUGAGCAUGUCUUAUGGGAGAAAGAAAAUCUUACUAAGAUGAAAAUUACUUUACACCUCUGUGUUGGCAGACUUAUCUCCUAAUGGCAAGUUACAUCUUUUACAUUUUAUUCUUAAAAAAAAGUUUUAGACUUCACUUUCAUGGGAGUCUGAUAAUGAAAUCUGUGCCAUAGCAGUUCUGAGGUUGACUACCUGAGUAGUCUUUUUCUUUUUUAAGCCCUAAGGUUUUAUAAAUAAACAUUGAUAGCUCAUUGAAGCAUCUAUUUGCUGAUCAACAAUCUUUAUCAUUUUUCCUUUACAUUUUAUAUUCUGUAGAAUCUAAUUUCUUAAAAUGCUAGUUUAAUUAAAACCUAAUUGAAAUACGUUUUACAACUUUUUUAUUUCCUACCAUUUAAAUUCAUGACAUACUACGCAAGAGUUUUGAACAUGCUUGAGAAAUAAUUUGAUUCUUUUAAUUCAUUUGCGUGUUCUGAAUAGUUACCAUCCUUUGCAUGUCUAUGGCUUGCUGCUUAUGUUUAGAGGAAUUGUAGUUUGUUGUACUUAGAAAUUUCUUUGUUUUACAUAAUAAGAAUUUGGCACAUAUAUGCUAUUUAAAUCAAAUGCUAUAUUGACUUUAUGUAUUCUCAUUAGCAGCCAACAGUCGACACCAUCUUUGGUCACAAAGAAACAACUAAAUCUAAUGAAAUAUAACAGGAUGCAUUUUUAUCCUCAUUUUCUUUAAGUUCAGUGUAUUACUGAAAAUAAGACUUCUUGACAAAGACAUUUAAUUCAUAACAGAAAUUAUUUUUUACUAUUUAUAAAUGUAAACCAUAGCAUAUAGCAUCCAGUAAAACAUACAAUCUACCUUCUCUCUCUUUCUUAAUAAUGCAACUUUAAUAGUUCAUGUCUUUGAAAAUAUUUAUAUUCAGAUAUCAAUACUUUUCUAUAGUCUACUCAACAUUUGUACCCUAUAUAGAAAUUCCAAAGUAAAAAUAGUGGCAAAUUGAUUUUUUAAUUUAAAAAAUUACAAAGUCUUUCUACCUGGAAAAUGAUACUAAUUCCAGGAUGUCUGUAAAUUUUGCUCCCUUGGCUGGCAACAUACUUCCUGGGAAAAGGAAAAUAGCCUACGAGAUGGUAAAGCUCUGUGAACUGGAUUCUUCUGUGAUUGUAAACCAUUGUAAAUUUUGGUAGCUAGACAUUGAACUUGAAAGGAUCAAGUUAAAGACCCUUUUAAAUAUAGUUUGUGCUCCCUGGAACCCUAAAUAAUACUCAUUUAUUCAUAAUAUUCAACAUUUUGGGGAGCAGUGGGAGGGAAGGGUGGGUUACAACAAAAACUGCAUUGCUUCAGGUAGGUAUAAAUAUGGAGGUGAAUCAGAUUUUUAGUUAUAUAUCAGAAAUAACUAACAUCCAUUAAAUUACAAAAAUUGAAUACUCCAGCCCUGUCAGUCUUUAAUUGGGUAUGGGGCUUUUCAUCCAUAUCACUCUUACCAUUGCCUGUGUGGGCCAUAUCUAUUAUUAAUACUACUUGAGUGAUUUUUAUAUUAUUUCCCAUUUUGGCUUGAUAAUCCAUGGCUUUUAUUUCACUGCUUAACAAUGUUUGUAUCCUUUAUUCAGCAAAUAGUUUACACUGGCCUAUUUUGUAUCAGUCAAGAUUUUUCUCAGGUAACAGCUUUAUUAUUUUAUUUUAUUUUUUUAGUUAACAAGAGGUAGGAUUACAUAAGAGAAGAAAAACUAAAAUUACAAACAGAAACUUUAAAACUAGUGUGUCUGGUUACUUGGACAUUGCAUCAUAGAUGUAAUCUAAGCAAAGUGGAAGAUCUGUCUUUGUUACUUAGUUGUCUGCAUUUGUACAGGACGAUGUAUGCCACUAAAUUUAGAUGUUUGUUGGCUUUAUUAUAUAACCUGAAUAAAAAUUGAUGAAAUCUAAUCGGUAUACAAUUAAACCUUAAAAAUAUGAAGACUAUUGAUGUAGCUAUUUAAUGAAAAUUAUAUAUAUGCAUUUUUCUUUUCUAAGCAUUUUUUCUUUUAAAAUUAUUUCACAAAUUAUAAACUCUCCUACUAAGAUGAAAGCCAAAUACUGUACACUAAUGGUACUGGAAAUUUUAAAAUUCAUUUACUUGUAUAUACUACCUUUUGCAAAAUGCUAUUCUUUGCGUAAAUUUGUAUAUUGUAAACUGAACCUAUGUUGUUGAAUCUACUGUGUAUGACAAAAUAUUUUUAAUCAUUAUGCUUUUACUAAUGCAUUAAAGGGUUGGAAUGAUCCUCUUGUAGUUGUAUUUUUAAGCAGAACUGUUCUCUCUUUGUAUUGAGGCUUUAGCUUAGAAGCCUAAUUUUUUUUUAAUGUUCUAGAACUUUCCUAGAAAAGUUAAGAAGAGCCUCCAUAAUUUUUUUAAAUUUAUUGUUUUGAAAGAGGGUUUAGCCCUAAGAAAUUAAACAGGCAUGAUCUAUUACUUUCAGAUCUAUAUUUCACAGCGUAUAUUGAUAAAAAGUGCCAUUUAAAAAACCCCAAAUGUCCAACUCUAUCAAUUGUUACAAGAAAUAUUUAAUGGAGAAGCUAAUGUAAAAUAUGCCCUAUGCUUCUAUCAUAAGCCAGUUAAACAAGAUAUAGGUGAGGAUCUAGAUUUGUCAUUUGAAUAUUGUAACAUAUAAGCAGUACAGGUUAAUUUGUACUUAAAUAUUUACAUUGUUGUCAUUGCAUGUAUUCACUGUAUUUUUUAAUGUAUCAGCUGUUUUCUCUUUAUAGAUUAGUAUUUCAAAGUAACCAUCCCAUGCCAAUUCAGACUACCAUUGGUCUCUAAGCUUGUUAAAUGAAAAUGUUUUAUUACUGUCUUC